GACAAUAACUGAAUAUCUUUUCGUAUAUUUCCGAGGAUAGGCUCGGAAGUUUCUACGAGGUCACCGUAAUGAUCUAGCUACGAGAAGAAGAGACUUGGAA
rnacentral:ncRNA from 2 species